rnacentral:rRNA from 1 species
UGUGCCGCAAGGUGCAUGGCAGACGGGUGAGUAACGCGUGGGGAAUCUACCUUUUUGUGGGGAAUAACGUUCCGAAAGGAAUGGUAAUACCGCAUGUGACCGUUGACUGGAAUGUUGGCGGUGAAAGCUGGGGACCGCAAGGCCUAGCGCAAGAAGAGGAUCCUGCGUCUGAUUAGCUAGUUGGUGAGGUAAUGGCCCACCAAGGCGACGAUCAGUAGCCGGCCUGAGAGGGUGAUCGGCCACACUGGAACUGAGACACGGUCCAGACUCC